GACAUAGGGAGGGAGAAAGGAGGCUCCAGAAGAAUCGGAAUGAGAACCGAUGAGGACCUGAACUGCAGCAGGAGGGGAGAGAGUGGCGAGGAUGUCUCACGUGCUGUCAUGUCAUUUACUGGCACCACCUUCAACACAAUUACUCAAGCCCAGUUGCUGAGCAUCAUCUGGAAUCCUUUCACCUUCCCAUGCACAAUCCUUGAGAUCCAGAGAUGCUACCUCCAAAAGGCAACAAAAAAAUCUAACGACAACUCACUAUCUUCCCAUCUACUGUCCAGCUGUGUAUAUAUGCGUCUAUGGACCAGGUAGUGUGUCAAAGGUAUUUCUUAGCUGUAGGGUUGCAGUAAAAAAGUUUGGAAGCUAUUCGUUGCCCAUUAGGCAAUUAAAGAGUAAAGAUGUGGCCCCUGCCUACAUCUUUAAUCUCAUCUUCUGUCAUCUCCCCCUCUUUGCUCCUUUAGUCCCUGGAAAGUGGUAAGCUCUCUCUUGCCUUGGGGCCUUAGUAUUUGCUGUUAACUCUACCUGGAACAUUCUCCUUAUCUUUCCC
rnacentral:lncRNA from 1 species